AACCUUCCGAAUCCAUACCCAGAUUUCAUCAGACACUAUACCACUAGGAUUGAUGAGACUCCUAAGAUUAGUGAAGUG
rfam:Schistosoma mansoni, Puerto Rico, WGS project CABG01000000 data, contig: 0170